UAGAGGAUCUCCCUGCCGUAUGCC
rnacentral:siRNA from 1 species